rnacentral:rRNA from 1 species
UGACGAGUUUGAUCCUGGCUCAGAAUGAACGCUAGCGGCAGGCUUAACACAUGCAAGUCGAGGGGUAAGGUAGCAAUAUCUGAGACCGGCGCACGGGUGCGUAACGCGUAUGCAAUCUACCUUCACAGAGGGAUAGCCCAGAGAAAUUUGGAUUAAUACCUCAUAGUAUAAUGAUUUGGCAUCAAGACAUUAUUAAAGUCACAACGGUGAAAGAUGAGCAUGCGUCCCAUUAGCUAGUUGGUAUGGUAACGGCAUACCAAGGCGACGAUGGGUAGGGGUCCUGAGAGGG